rnacentral:rRNA from 1 species
GACGAACGCUGGCGGCGUGCCUAAUACAUGCAAGUCGAACGAGAGCGACCGGUGCUUGCACUGGUCAAUCUAGUGGCGAACGGGUGAGUAACACGUGGGUAACCUGCCCAUCAGAGGGGGAUAACAUUCGGAAACGGAUGCUAAAACCGCAUAGGUUCUUGAGUCGCAUGACUCGAGAAGGAAAAGAGGCUUCGGCUUCUGCUGAUGGAUGGACCCGCGGUGCAUUAGCUAGUUGGUGAGGUAACGGCUCACCAAGGCCGUGAUGCAUAGCCGACCUGAGAGGGUGAUCGGCCACAUUGGGACUGAGACACGGCCCAAACUCCUACGGGAGGCAGCAGUAGGGAAUCUUCCGCAAUGGACGCAAGUCUGACGGAGCAACGCCGCGUGAGUGAAGAAGGAUUUCGGUUCGUAAAACUCUGUUGUUAGAGAAGAACAGCGCAUAGAGUAACUGUUAUGCGUGUGACG